rnacentral:rRNA from 1 species
UACGGGGGGUGCGAGCGUUGUCCGGAUUCACUGGGCGUAAAGGGCGCGUAGGCGGCUGGCUCAGUCGGGCCUGUAAGUGCGGGGCUCAACCCCGUGAUGGGCUCGGGACGGGCUGGCUGGGGCGCGGUCGAGGGAGACGGAAUGCCGGGUGUAGUGGUGAAAUGCGUAGAGAUCCGGCGGAACACCAGUGGCGAAAGCGGCCACCUGGACUGCACCUGACGCUGACACGCGAAAGCUAGGGGAGCGAACGGG